UGUUCUGACGCUCGCUUGGCUCUGAUUUUCGACGGUGAAAAUGUCAAAUUAUUCACCUGCGAUUUAGUUUCUUUCAACAUCCAAAUGUUCUUCAUUCUUCUAUGAUGUGUGCUUGUUCUCGAAAUACCAGAUUUGGAAAACUCGGAAAAAUAUCAGUUUUACAAUAGAAAUCUACAGUCAAAAUGUUUAUAAUUAUAUCAGUGGAAGCACAAGCUAUGCGCGCAAUGCCACAUGGGAUACUGUGAUAGCGCUAGGCCGAUAAAAAAUUCAUUUUCAUUUCAUUUUUGAAAAAAAAAGCAAUUUAUUUUGAAAAAACUUUUUUUU